CCUACGGGAGGCAGCAGUGGGGAAUAUUGGACAAUGGGGGAAACCCUGAUGCAGCGACGCCGCGUGAGUGAAGAAGUAUUUCGGUAUGUAAAGCUCUAUCAGCAGGGAAGAAAAUGACGGUACCUGACUAAGAAGCCCCGGCUAACUACGUGCCAGCAGCCGCGGUAAUACGUAGGGGGCAAGCGUUAUCCGGAUUUACUGGGUGUAAAGGGAGCGUAGACGGCGGCGCAAGUCUGGAGUGAAAUGCCGGGGCUUAACCCCGGGACUGCUUUGGAAACUGUGCAGCUAGAGUGCAGGAGAGGUAAGUGGAAUUCCUAGUGUAGCGGUGAAAUGCGUAGAUAUUAGGAGGAACACCAGUGGCGAAGGCGGCUUACUGGACUGUAACUGACGUUGAGGCUCGAAAGCGUGGGGAGCAAACAGGAUUAGAUACCCCUGUAGUC
rnacentral:rRNA from 1 species